ACGUAGGGGGCAAGCGUUGAUCGGAAUUAUUGGGCGUAAAGAGCACGUAGGCGGCCCUACAAGUCAGUUGUGAAAUCCUUCUGCUCAACGGAAGGACGGCAGUUGAUACUAUUGGGCUGGAGUGCGGGAGGGGAGAGUGGAACUUCUGGUGGAGCGGUGAAAUGCGUAGAUAUCAGAAGGAACAUCGGAGGCGAAAGCGACUCUCUGGCCCGUAACUGACGCUGAGGUGCGAAAGCUAGGGGAGCAAACGG
rnacentral:rRNA from 1 species